AAACUUAAACUAACAAAACGUUAAAAAAACGUUAGACGUUUAAACUUUCAUAUAUCUACUGUGAUCAAAUUACAUAAAAAAAUACUAGGGGCACAUAACUAUUUUUAUAUGUAUUAAUUUUUUAAUAAUUGUAUGUGUUAACAGCAGCCGCAGCUACAGGUGCAGACGAUUCAAAUACAUCCCCAACACCAGCCCAUACAAAUACAUGCGGUGGGCGUGCAGCAAGUGCAGCAGGAGCAGCUGCACGUCGCCACCUCGUCCUGCCAGACCAUGCUGCCCAACAUUCUGCAGCUGCAGCCGGGCGCCGUGGUAUCGGGCCUGGCGUCCGGCCUGGCGCAGGAGCUCGGCGGCGUGCACCGCAUCAUCCUGCAGCCGCCGCACGCGCACCCCGCGCUCUACACCAUCCACCACUGACCACAGACACCGUCACCCUCGUCCGCACUCACCACAGAUAACGUCACCCUCGUCUGCGCCGACCACAGAUAACGUUACCCUCGUCUGCGCUGACCACAGAUAGCGUUACCCUCGUCUGCUACUGACCACAUUCUAUAUUAAUAACCACACUCAACCCAGAUCAUCACAUCACUAGG